rnacentral:rRNA from 1 species
CCCGCUGAAUUUAAGCAUAUUAAUAAGCGGAGGAAAAGAAACUAACAAGGAUUCCCUCAGUAACGGCGAGUGAAGCGGGAAGAGCUCAAAUUUGAAAUCUCCGAUGCCUGCAUCGGCGAGUUGUAGUUGCGAGAAGCACUUUCUAGGUGGAUCGGCGGCGCCUAAGUUGCUUGGAACAGCACGUCGCAGAGGGUGACAACCCCGUCUGUGGCGCCGCCGGCCGCCGACGAUGCGCUUUCGAAGAGUCGGGUUGUUUGGGAAUGCAGCCCAAAACGGGUGGUAAACUCCAUCUAAAGCUAAAUACUGGCGUGAGACCGAUAGCGAACAAGUACCGUGAGGGAAAGAUGAAAAGAACUUUGAAAAGAGAGUUAAAAAGUACGUGAAACCGUCGGAAGGGAAACGAAUGGACUCAGCAAUGCGCCCUCUGAGAUUCAGCCGGCGGGSGCGGCGGCGCCGGGGGUUGBUGAUCUGAAUGGASAGSGGCCBGGCGCCGCSYCUCCCCCCCGCCGUCGCACUUCUCUGGGGCGCGCGUCAACGUGGGUCGGGACUGGGUCUGAAAGGUGCCGGGAAGGUAGGCGUGGGCCCCCGGGUCCGCGCCGKUACAGCCCGGUUCUCUCAUGGCUCGGGCCCGACCGAGGAGAUGGACCAGGCAGGGCAUGCCUCCUGUGGCUAGGGUCCCGUCCCUCCGGCCGGUCGUCCAGUGCGGUGGACUGCUUGCAGUGCUCCGCGACGGCUGCCGGUCGUUGGGGCGGUGAUCUCGUACCAUGCCCUUGGGAUGUUGGCGGUCAUAUGGGUGC